rnacentral:rRNA from 1 species
CGUAGUCUUACUGACGUUCAUGCUCGAAGGUGCGGGUAUCGAACAGGAUUAGAUACCCUGGUAGUCCGCACGGUAAACGAUGGAUGCCCGCUGUUUGCGAUACACAGUAAGCGGCCAAGCGAAAGCAUUAAGCAUCCCACCUGGGGAGUACGCCGGCAACGGUGAAACUCAAAGGAAUUGACGGGGGCCCGCACAAGCGGAGGAACAUGUGGUUUAAUUCGAUGAUACGCGAGGAACCUUACCCGGGCUUGAACUGCAGCGGAAGGAUACAGAGAUGUUGACGUCCUUCGGGACCGCUGCGGAGGUGCUGCAUGGUUGUCGUCAGCUCGUGCCGUGAGGUGUCGGCUUAAGUGCCAUAACGAGCGCAACCCCUGCGGUCAGUUGCCAUCAGUUAGAGCUGGGCACUCUGGCCGGACUGCCACCGCAAGGUGUGAGGAAGGUGGGGACGACGUCAAAUCAGCACGGCCCUUACGUCCGGGGCUACACACGUGUUACAAUGGGGAGCACAGCGAGUCGGCCGCCCGCAAGGUCGGUCCAAUCAUGAAACCUCCCCUCAGUUCGGACUGGGGUCUGCAACCCGACCCCACGAAGCUGGAUUCGC